GACGAACGCUGGCGGCGUGCUUAACACAUGCAAGUCGAGGGGGCUGUGGCUUUCGGGUCGCAGUCACCGGCGAACGGGUGCGUAACACGUGAGCGACCUGCCUUCGUGCGGGGGAGUAGCCAGCCCAACGGCCGGGUAAUACCGCAUACGCUUCUUUGGCUGAGUGGCCGGGGAAGGAAACCGUUAGGGCACGGAGAGGGGCUCGCGGCCUAUCAGCUCGUUGGCGGGGUAAUGGCCCACCAAGGCGACGACGGGUAGCUGGUCUGAGAGGAUGGCCAGCCACAUUGGGACUGAGAGACGGCCCAGACUCCUACGGGAGGCAGCAGUGGGGAAUCUUGCGCAAUGGGCGAAAGCCUGACGCAGCGACGCCGCGUGGGGAGGAA
rnacentral:rRNA from 1 species